rnacentral:misc_RNA from 1 species
UUGAAUAUUUGAAGAGGUUGUUGCUGGUCCCUACCGGGACAUCGUGCACGCCUCGUUCAAAAAAUCCAACCUUUCACACCCCUGUGCAUCAUUUGUAGGGUUGCGGCCUCCAGGCUUGCGCUCUAUGUUUAUCACAAACUCUGUAAUAUGUGUAGAAUGAUUUUGCGUAUAACGCAUCUAUAUA